CUUUUUUCGUUGCUCUUUUCAUCUCCACAUUUCUCUUUGCAGUUUUCUAACCCCCUUUCCUCCGAAGUAACCCCUCUUCCAGGCCCUAGGAGGUUGCUAGGGCUGCUACGUGGCCUCCGCACCAGGCUACGGCCUGGGCCCCAGUGGGGGCCGCGCCGCCUCCUGCGCCCUCACCCUUCACCGCCGGACCCGCACCCUCCCUGCGGCCGGGCGCCCAGCGCAGAUUUCCAAGCCCACCGGUAGGGGGCGCUCUGAGGCAGCCAGCAGGGCCGGGCCUCCCUGACUGGCCAGUGACUGCUGUCCGGUUCCCUCUGCCUGCAGGGCAGGAAUCAACCCCCAGCCUAGUUCUGUGACUUCUGUAGGGUGGUGAUACCAAAAUACUCCACUUUUGGGGACUCCCCCCAUAGCAUUGUGAUUAGAACAGUAGAAGUAUCCUGUGUCCCUGAGCCACCCCAGGGGAGGGGCAGGAGGGACAGGAGUCAAUGGGGCAUUAUUGGAAAGAAAGGGGCGGCCCUGCUGCUGCUGAUUAGGGUCAGUUCUGUACAACAUACUCGUUGCUCCAGAGGAGAAAGACCGCAGCUCUGCCAGUGGCCCAUCAAGAAGUCAGGGAGGAGCCAGCCAACACUGUUGGACUGAGUUGAGACAUUCUGUCUGUGAGGUGCCGGUCUACCUACCUCAUCUUACAGGUUAGACCACUGAGGCUUAGAGAGAUGGAGAGAUCCACCUAUGGUCACACAGCAAGCCCAGAAAACAACCCAAGAUUUGACGCCCAGAGUCAGUACUAUACCUGCUUCCCUGUUGUUUGCGUCAAAGGUCAAGACCUUGGUAAUUUACUGAGGUGCAAGCUGUCAAGGGGGAGACACAACUCCAACAGCAUUCCUGGGACAUAAAGCAAUGAGGGCAGUAAAGCUCCUUCUCGGAGCAAUAAGGGGAUCGAACUCGGGACCUUGCGCUUGUGAAGCCAGCACCGGAACCACUGAGCCAAAUCCCCGGGCCUGGGAGGACACAUCUUGAGAAUUUUAGGAACCCUUAUGUUGUGAAUUCCCCUAGUGUAUACUGUGUCCCCAGUAAAACUGAUGUAGUGCUGAGAAAUGAGGGAGCAUUCU